GGAUGUGAGGGCGAUCUGGCUGCGACAUCUGUCACCCCAUUGAUCGCCAGGGUUGAUUUGGCUGAUCUGGCUGGCUAGGCGGGUGUCCCCUUCCUCCCUGACUGCUCCAUAAAAAAAGGGGGGGGGAACUUUUAUCAUCAUCAGGUAGAUAUUUAGAUUCAUUGACCCUAAAUAAAAAGGUAGAUAUUCAUUUAGAAUGAAUAAAAGGAGGCCAUAGAAAUGCAACCAAAAAAGGCAGAGUAAGGAUCUCUGAAGAUUCUCUAUUCUAU
rfam:Felis catus isolate Cinnamon breed Abyssinian chromosome A3, whole genome shotgun sequence.